UUGAGCCGUAUGAAGCGAAAGUUUCACGUACGGUUCUUAGAAGAGGGGGAACGAGCAAUCGUUCCUCUUUAUUCAGC
rnacentral:ncRNA from 1 species